GAUGAACGCUGGCGGCGUGCCUAAUACAUGCAAGUCGAGCGAACAGAUGAGGAGCUUGCUCCUCUGACGUUAGCGGCGGACGGGUGAGUAACACGUGGAUAACCUACCUAUAAGACUGGGAUAACUUCGGGAAACCGGAGCUAAUACCGGAUAAUAUAUUGAACCGCAUGGUUCAAUAGUGAAAGACGGUUUUGCUGUCACUUAUAGAUGGAUCCGCGCCGCAUUAGCUAGUUGGUAAGGUAACGGCUUACCAAGGCAACGAUGCGUAGCCGACCUGAGAGGGGGACGGCCCCCACGGGAAGGGGAACAGGGACCAUACCACCAAGGGGGGCGAGAGUGGGGAAUCUCGCAAAAUGGGAGAAAGCCGGAGGGAGCAACCCGGCGUGGGGAAUGAAGGUUUUGGGUUCUAAAAACUUUUUUAUGGGGAAAAAAAAAAGGGGAAAGAAACAAUCCGCGUUUGGAGGGAACCUAAUAAAAAACCCCCGGCUAACCCGGGC
rnacentral:rRNA from 1 species